rnacentral:rRNA from 1 species
AGAAUCAACGCUGGCGGCGUGCCUAACACAUGCAAGUCGAACGAGAAAGUGGAGCAAUCCAUGAGUAAAGUGGCGACCGGGUGAGUAACACGUGACUAACCUACCCUAGAGUGGGGAAUAACUUCGGGAAACCGAGGCUAAUACCGCAUAACAUCGCAAGGGGAAGAUCCUUGUCGAUCAAAGAAGCAAUUCGCUCAAGGAGGGGGUCGGCGGCUGAUUAGUCUAGUUGGUGAGGUAACGGCCCACCAAGGCUUAGAUCAGUA